UACGUAGGGCGCAAGCGUUGUCCGGAAUUAUUGGGCGUAAAGAGCUCGUAGGUGGUUUGUCGCGUUGUUCGUGAAAACUCACAGCUUAACUGUGGGCGUGCGGGCGAUACGGGCAGACUGGAGUACUGCAGGGGAGACUGGAAUUCCUGGUGUAGCGGUGGAAUGCGCAGAUAUCAGGAGGAACACCGGUGGCGAAGGCGGGUCUCUGGGCAGUAACUGACGCUGAGGAGCGAAAGCGUGGGGAGCGAACAGG
rnacentral:rRNA from 1 species